GAAAAAAACUAGCAGAGUUGCAAGCUUAACAAAUAUAUGAUGAAAGAAAUUUGCAUCAUGCAGUACAUCUUACAAUAAACUUAACAAUGAUGAAUUAUAGGAACAUAUUGUUUGCAUAUUUUGACAUUAUUUUAUGGCAAUCUGUAUCAAUUCAAAUGACAUAAACUAAAACAUUCAAAGAGAACGUCAAGUUUUAUUUCCACUACAAACUAAAAAGUAUACCACAGGUGAGUGUGU
rnacentral:misc_RNA from 1 species